AGAGUUUGAUCAUGGCUCAGAACGUACGCUGGCGGCACGCCUAACACAUGCAAGUCGAACGCAGUAGCAAUACUGAGUGGCAAACGGGUGAGUAUAAUGUGGGAAUCUGCCUUUUGGUUUGGAAUAACACGGGGAAACUUGUGCUAAUACCGGAUAAGCCCUUACGGGGAAAGUUUUAACGCCGAAAGAUGAGCCCGCACUUGAUUAGCUAGUUGGUAAGGUAAAAGCUUACCAAGGCAACGAUCAAUAGCUGUUCUUAGAGGAAGACCAGCCACAUUGGGACUGAGACACGGCCCAGACUCCUACGGGAGGCAGCAGUGGGGAAUCUUGCACAAUGGGGGAAACCCUGAUGCAGCGAUGCCGCGUGAGUGAAGAAGGCCCUUGGGUUGUAAAACUCUUUCGUCGGGGAAGAAAAUGACUGUACCCGAAUAAGAAGGUCCGGCUAACUUCGUGCCAGCAGCCGCGGUAAUACGAAGGGACCUAGCGUAGUUCGGAAUUACUGGGCUUAAAGAGCUCGUAGGUGGUUAAAAAAGUUGAUGGUGAAAUCCCAAGGCUCAACCUUGGAACUGCCAUCAAAACUUUUUAGCUAGAGUGUGAUAGAGGUAAGUGGAAUUUCUAGUGUAGAGGUGAAAUUCGUAGAUAUUAGAAAGAACACCAAAUGCGAAGGCAACUUACUGGGUCACUACUGACACUGAGGAGCGAAAGCAUGGGUAGCGAAGAGGAUUAGAUACCCUCGUAGUCCAUGCCGUAAACGAUGUGUGCUAGACGUUGGAAAUAUAUUUUUCAGUGUCGCAGCGAAAGCAUUAAGCACACCGCCUGGGGAGUACGACCGCAAGGUUAAAACUCAAAUGAAUUGACGGGGACCCGCACAA
rnacentral:rRNA from 1 species